rnacentral:rRNA from 1 species
UACGAAGGGGGCUAGCGUUGCUCGGAAUCACUGGGCGUAAAGGGUGCGUAGGCGGGUCUUUAAGUCAGGGGUGAAAUCCUGGAGCUCAACUCCAGAACUGCCUUUGAUACUGAGGAUCUUGAGUCCGGGAGAGGUGAGUGGAACUGCGAGUGUAGAGGUGAAAUUCGUAGAUAUUCGCAAGAACACCAGUGGCGGAAGGCGGCUCACUGGCCCGGUACUGACGCUGAGGCACGGAAAGCGUGGG